rnacentral:rRNA from 1 species
UGCAGUCGAACGGUGAUGACAGGGCUUGCCUUGUCUGAUCAGUGGCGAACGGGUGAGUAACACGUGAGUAACCUGCCCCAGACUCUGGAAUAACCUCGGGAAACCGUGGCUAAUACCGGAUACGAAACGGACCCGCAUGGGUGCUGUUUGGAAAGUUUUUCGGUCUGGGAUGGACUCGCGGCCUAUCAGCUUGUUGGUGAGGUAAUGGCUCACCAAGGCGACGACGGGUAGCCGGCCUGAGAGGGCGACCGGCCACACUGGGACUGAGACACGGCCCAGACUCCUACGGGAGGCAGCAGUGGGGAAUAUUGCACAAUGGGCGAAAGCCUGAUGCAGCGACGCCGCGUGAGGGAUGACGGCCUUCGGGUUGUAAACCUCUUUCAGCAGGGAAGAAGCGAAAGUGACGGUACCUGCAGAAGAAGCACCGGCUAACUACGUGCCAGCAGCCGCGGUAAUACGUAGGGUGCGAGCGUUGUCCGGAAUUAUUGGGCGUAAAGAGCUUGUAGGCGGUUUGUCGCGUCUGCCGUGAAAAUUCGAGGCUCAACCUCGAACUUGCGGUGGGUACGGGCAGACUAGAGUGUGGUAGGGGAGACUGGAAUUCCUGGUGUAGCGGUGAAAUGCGCAGAUAUCAGGAGGAACACCGAUGGCGAAGGCAGGUCUCUGGGCCACUACUGACGCUGAGAAGCGAAAGCAUGGGGAGCGAACAGGAUUAGAUACCCUGGUAGUCCAUGCCGUAAACGUUGGGAACUAGGUGUGGGUCUCAUUCCACGAGAUCCGUGCCGCAGCUAACGCAUUAAGUUCCCCGCCUGGGGAGUACGGCCGCAAGGCUAAAACUCAAAGGAAUUGACGG